rnacentral:lncRNA from 1 species
GACUUUUGGGAUAGCAUUGGAAAUGUAAAUGAAAUAAAUACCUAAUUUUAAAAAAAGUCAAUGUGGCCAUCUUGUAUAAUUAAGCAGAGAGGAAAAAUCAAUUUCUAAGUUAUAUAACAAACUGUUCUCUAUAUGUAUCUUUAUUAGACAUUUGCUUCUUUUAAAAAAUGUUUUACUGUGUGUGUAUAUGUGUUUGUGCAUGUGUAUGCCUGUGCAUAGAGUGUAUGAUACUCCAUGUGUCCUCUACUCAGUCCAAGGUUAUAAGUGAAUGUUCAUACAAGCUUACUUUUCUUCACUUCACAUCCUGCUCAUUGGCCGCCUCCCAGGCACUCCCUCCCACAAUCCUACCCAAGUUUCACAAGGUCCCAUUUAUCCAUCAUUGAUCUAAGUGCCUGAGCCAUUGAUGAUAUCCAGGAAAUUGUCUCCUGUACCAAUGCAUUUUCCUCUGGUUUCCACAUGGAUAGUGCUAUAUGUAAAUAGUGCAAUAAAUAAACAGAAUUGCACAUAAGGGUAUUGCUUAUGGGCUGAGGAGAUUGCCAGUGAGCCAAGUGCUUUCUUUAGAAAAAAAAAAAAGAGAGAGAGAGAGAGACCUCAAUUUGAAUCUUCAGAACCCACCCCAGAGCUGUACUAAGUGCUUAAGUAUCUGUGAUCAAAGUGCUUCUUUGGAGAGAUGGGAGAUUUAUAUAUAUAUUCCCCACAAGCUCCAGGGCCACCUAGCCUAGUAUAUGGUGGGGAAAAACAGCAAACAGGUUUUGUUUCAACAGGAUCCAAGGUGAGAACUAACACCCAAGAUUGUUCUUUGACCUCCAAACUCAUACUGUGGUACACAUAUAAUGAACCUGCACACUUGAAUGCAUACCCAUUUACACCCAGAGACAAAAAUUAUACUUAAAAAUUAAAGAAUAAAUAUUCAUGUCUUUGGGGAGAAAGGUUGUAUUAGCAACUAUUGUUUUCAAUUCAUAAAAUUUCCAACAGAAGGUAAAUUACUAAUAUUUAAAUUAAUCUACAAAGUAAACCUCUCUGGAUCACUUUUAUUUUCAUUUUUAAGCUACAUCUCACAGCCACUGUCUUUAUUCCUUUGCCCUUGAUACUGUAAUUUUGCAUUGAGUAGUACAAGGCGUAAGAAUCAAGAGCUUUGCUCUAGCUAAGACUUCUAGUACUUCUGCUGAAUGAAAAUGAGGAGAACAGAUUUUCUUUUGUGAUCUUCAGCCAUAGAUGAGAAAUAUUCAAGUUUUGCCAUUGUGAUGUCAGGCGCCAGCUUAUGGUGUCUGGCCUGAAUUGUACUUUAUUGUUGCUUGCAGACAUCAUUUGUUGCAACUUUUUAAUAUUGUAAAAAAC